rnacentral:ncRNA from 21 species
UCUCUGAUGAUCCAAACAUUAUGCUUGAAUCUCCGUGUGAGCAUACGAUUUCUCAAUAGACUACAACGGUAUCUGACG